rnacentral:rRNA from 1 species
AGAAUCAACGCUGGCGGCGUGCCUAACACAUGCAAGUCGCACGAGAAAGGGUAGCAAUACCUGAGUAAAGUGGCGCACGGGUGAGUAACACGUGAAUGAUCUACCUCCGAGUGGGGAAUAACUGAGAGAAAUCUUAGCUAAUACCGCAUAACACUUACGAGUCAAAGCAGCAAUGCGCUUGGAGAGGAGUUCGCGGCCGAUUAGUUAGUUGGCGGGGUAAUGGCCCACCAAGACGAUGAUCGGUAUCCGGCCUGAGAGGGCGCACGGACACACUGGAACUGAAACACGGUCCAGACUCCUACGGGAGGCAGCAGUGGGGAAUUUUGCGCAAUGGGGGAAACCCUGACGCAGCAACGCCGCGUGGAGGAUGAAAUAUCUUGGUAUGUAAACUCCUUUCGAUGGGGAAGAUUAUGACGGUACCCAUAGAAGAAGCCCGGCUAACUUCGCGCCAGCAGCCGC